rnacentral:rRNA from 1 species
UACGUAGGGGGCAAGCGUUGUCCGGAUUUAUUGGGCGUAAAGCGCUCGCAGGUGGUUCGUCGCGUCGUGCGUGAAAGACCCCGGCUCAACUGGGGAGGGUCGUGCGAUACGGGCGAACUGGAGGCCAGUAGGGGGAUGCGGAAUUCCGGGUGUAGUGGUGGAAUGCGUAGAGAUCCGGAGGAACACCAGCGGCGAAGGCGGCAUCCUGGACUGGUACUGACACUCAGGAGCGAAAGCGUGGGGAGCGAUCCGG